rnacentral:rRNA from 1 species
UACGACUACAUAUCAGGCAUAUCAAUAAGCGGAGGAAAAGAAACUAACAAGGAUUCCCUUAGUAACGGCGAGUGAAGCGGGAAGAGCUCAAAUUUGAAAUCUUCAAGGUUCUACCUUGACGAAUUGUAGUUUAAAGAAGUGUUUUCUGUUAGAUGAGUAGCAAAAGUUCCUUGGAAUGGGACAUCAUAGAGGGUGAGAAUCCCGUAUUUGGUUAUUCAUUCUAGCUUUGUGAUACACUUUCAAAGAGUCGGAUUGUUUGGGAAUGCAGUCCAAAAUGGGUGGUAAAUUUCAUCUAAAGCUAAAUAUUGGCGAGAGACCGAUAGCGAACAAGUACCGUGAGGGAAAGAUGAAAAGAACUUUGAAAAGAGAGUUAAACAGUACGUGAAAUUGUCAAAAGGGAAGCGUUUGACACCAGUGUUGUUUUUCCGAAAAUCAAUUACGAAUGGCUUGAUUUUGUGUUGUAUUGACCUUAUCAGCUUUCUUCACUUUUUUCGAGUCUUUCUUAAUGCACUUUUCGGUUAACAAGUCAACAUCAAUUUCUUUUGUUGUAAAAGAGUAUUCGGAAGGUGGCCUUCUUUUCGGAGAAAGUGUUUAUAGCCCUAUACUUCUACAAUCGGAGAGAUUGAGGUCUGCAGCGUAGAUCCUUCGGGGUUAGAUACACUUGUGCUAAGUUGUAGCUUUUCAUAGACAACUUGUUGACUAUGUUUAGUCAUGCGGCUUACUCGCUUGUGCUAUUUUACCUACGCUUAGGAUGUUGAGUAGCGACAUACGCAC